UACGUAGGGCGCAAGCGUUGUCCGGAAUUAUUGGGCGUAAAGAGCUCGUAGGCGGUCUGUCGCGUCCGUUGUGAAAACUCGAGGCUCAACCUCGGGCUUGCAGUGGAUACGGGCAGACUAGAGUGCGGUAGGGGAGACUGGAAUUCCUGGUGUAGCGGUGGAAUGCGCAGAUAUCAGGAAGAACACCCGUGGCGAAGGCGGUUCUCUGGGACGGUACUGACGCUGAGACGCGAAAGCGUGGGGAGCGAACAGG
rnacentral:rRNA from 1 species